rnacentral:rRNA from 1 species
UACGGGAGGCAGCAGGGGGAAUAUUGCACAAUGGGCGCAAGCCUGAUGCAGCCAUGCCGCGUGUAUGAAGAAGGCCUUCGGGUUGUAAAGUACUUUCAGUCGUGAGGAAGGUGUUAAGGUUAAUAACCUUAGCAAUUGACGUUAGCGACAGAAGAAGCACCGGCUAACUCCGUGCCAGCAGCCGCGGUAAUACGGAGGGUGCGAGCGUUAAUCGGAAUUACUGGGCGUAAAGGGCACGCAGGCGGUUAAUUAAGUUGGAUGUGAAAUCCCCGGGCUUAACCUGGGAAUGGCAUUCAAGACUGGUUAGCUAGAGUCUUGUAGAGGGGGUAGAAUUCCAUGUGUAGCGGUGAAAUGCGUAGAGAUGUGGAGGAAUACCGGUGGCGAAGGCGGCCCCUGGACAAAGACUGACGCUCAUGUGCGAAAGCGUGGGGAGCAAACAGGGAUUAGAUAC